rnacentral:rRNA from 1 species
AAAACCGGAGGAAGGUGGGGAUGAAGUCAAUUCACCAUGGCCCUUUAGUCCUGGGCUACCCCCCUGCUACAAUGGCCGGUACAAAGGGGCGCAAACUCCGGAGGGGGAGCCAAUCCCCAAAACCCGGUCUCAGUUCGGAUUGCAGUCUGCAACUCGCCUGCAUGAAGUCGGAAUCGCUA